GAUGAACGCUAGCGGCAGGCCUAACACAUGCAAGUCGAACGGUAACAUGAUCAGCUUGCUGAUUGAUGACGAGCGGCGCACGGGUGCGUAACGCGUACGCAACCUACCUUUAACUGGAGCAUAGCCCGAAGAAAUUCGGAUUAAUACUCCAUAAAAUAUGAUGAUCGCAUGGUCGACAUAUUAAAGCUUUGGCGGUUAGAGAUGGGCAUGCGUGACAUUAGCUAGUUGGUAAGGUAACAGCUUACCAAGGCUACGAUGUCUAGGGGGCCUGAGAGGGUUAUCCCCCACACUGGUACUGAGACACGGACCAG
rnacentral:rRNA from 1 species